AAUGAACGUUGGCGGCGUGGAUUAGGCAUGCAAGUCGAGCGAGAAGUUUUUAGAAAGAUACUUCGGUUGAUUUCUAAAAUGGACAGCGGCGAAAGGGAGAGUAACGAGUAGAUACGUACCCAGGGGUUCGGGAUAGCUGCGGGAAGCUGCAGGUAAUACCGAAUAAUGUCUCCGGACCAAAAAUUUAUUGCCCCCGGAUCGGUCUGCUUACUAUUAGCUUGUUGGUGGGGUAAAGGCCUACCAAGGCGAAGAUGGUUAGCGGGUGUGAGAGCAUGGCCCGUCUCACUGGGACUGAGACACUGCCCAGACACCUACGGGUGGCUGCAGUCGAGAAUCUUCCGCAAUGGACGAAAGUCUGACGGAGCGACGCCGCGUGCGGGAUGAAGGCCUUCGGGUUGUAAACCGCUGUCAGAGGGGAGGAAAUUUUGACCGAUCCUCAGAGGAAGCACAGGCUAAGUUCGUG
rnacentral:rRNA from 1 species